GGAGGGGGGCGAGCGUUAUUCGGAAUUAUUGGGCGUAAAGGGCAGGUAGGCGGCUUUGUGUGUCCUUUGUGAAAGCCCUCGGGCUCAACCGAGGAAUUGCAGGGGAAACUGCGAAGCUUGAGUCCCGGGAGAGGGUAGUGGAAUUCCCAGUGUAGCGGUGAAAUGCGUAGAUAUUGGGAGGAACACCAGUGGCGAAGGCGACUACCUGGACCGGUACUGACGCUGAGCUGCGAAAGCUAGGGGAGCAAACGGGAUUAGAUACCCCGGUAGUCCUGGCUGUAAACGAUGAGCACUUGGUGUGGCGGGUAUCGACCCCUGCUGUGCCGAAGCUAACGCAUUAAGUGCUCCGCCUGGGGAGUACGGUCGCAAAGGCUG
rnacentral:rRNA from 1 species